rnacentral:rRNA from 1 species
GACGAACGCUGGCGGCGUGCUUAACACAUGCAAGUCGAACGGUGAAGGGACUGGUUUUGCUGGUCCUGGAUGAGUGGCGAACGGGUGAGUAACACGUGAGUAACCUGCCCCCUUCUUCUGGAUAACCGCAUGAAAGUGUGGCUAAUACGGGAUAUUCUGGGUCUGUCGCAUGGUGGGCCUGGGAAAGAUUGCGCCUUUUUUGGUGUGGUUGGUGGGGGAUGGGCUCGCGGCCUAUCAGCUUGUUGGUGGGGUGAUGGCCUACCAAGGCGGUGGCGGGUAGCCGGCCUGAGAGGGUGGACGGUCACACUGGGACUGAGACACGGCCCAGACUCCUACGGGAGGCAGCAGUGGGGAAUAUUGCACAAUGGGCGCAAGCCUGAUGCAGCGACGCCGCGUGAGGGAUGGAGGCCUUCGGGUUGUGAACCUCUUUCGCCAGUGAAGCAGGCCUGCCUCUUUUUGUGGGUGGGUUGACGGUAGCUGGAUAAGAAGCGCCGGCUAACUACGUG